rnacentral:rRNA from 1 species
UAGCCGUAAACGAUACUCACUAGGUGUCGGCCACGGUGCGACCGUUGUCGGUGCCGUAGGGAAGCCGUGAAGCGAGCCACCUGGGAAGUACGGCCGCAAGGCUGAAACUUAAGGAAUUGGCGGGGGAGCACCACAACGGGUGGAGCUUGCGGUUUAAUCGGACUCAACGCCGGGAAUCUCACCGGAUAAGACAGCUGAAUGAUAGUCGGGAUGAAGACUCUACUUGACUAGCUGAGAGGUGGUGCAUGGCGUAGUCGUGU